GUGGGUCCCAAUUCCCAAACCGUGGCGCCAUGGCUCUCCUUACUGAGUCACAGGCACUCUGAAGAUGGAUAACAAUAACAACUAACUAUCACACAAAUACACUCUCUGUCUGAGAGAGAGAGAGAUGGCGAUGGCAAUGGCGCUUCGGAGGCUCUCAUCUUCCAUAGACAAACCUCUCCGCCCUCUCUUCAAUGCCACUUCCGUUUGCUACAAGUCAUCGUUGCCUGAUGAAGCUGUCUACGACAAAGAGAGACCAGGAGUUACAUGGCCAAAGCAAUUGAAUGCCCCGCUUGAGGUUGUUGAUCCUCAGAUUGCUGAUAUAAUUGAGCUCGAAAAAGCUAGGCAAUGGAAGGGGCUUGAACUGAUACCGUCAGAGAAUUUCACUUCAGUCUCUGUAAUGCAAGCUGUUGGCUCAGUCAUGACUAACAAGUACAGUGAAGGAUAUCCUGGUGCAAGAUAUUAUGGUGGAAAUGAGUACAUUGAUAUGGCAGAAAGACUAUGUCAGAAGCGUGCCCUCGAGGCAUUCAGGUUGGAUCCAGCUAAAUGGGGAGUGAACGUUCAGCCUCUAUCUGGGUCUCCUUCAAAUUUUCAAGUUUAUACUGCAUUGCUAAAACCUCAUGACAGAAUCAUGGCACUUGAUCUUCCUCAUGGUGGACAUCUUUCUCAUGGAUACCAGACUGACACCAAAAAGAUUUCUGCAGUCUCGAUUUUUUUUGAGACAAUGCCAUAUAGAUUGAAUGAAAGCACAGGAUACAUUGACUAUGAUCAGAUGGAAAACAUGGCUAAACUCUUCAGGCCAAAGUUAAUUGUUGCUGGAGCCAGUGCUUAUGCACGCCUGUAUGAUUAUGCACGUGUACGCAAGGUGUGCGACAAACAGAAAGCUAUACUGUUGGCAGAUAUGGCACACAUCAGUGGAUUGGUUGCAGCUGGUGUUAUCCCAUCACCUUUUGAUUAUGCAGAUGUAGUGACUACCACCACUCACAAGUCACUUCGUGGCCCCCGUGGAGCUAUGAUAUUCUUCAGGAAGGGAGUUAAAGAAACUAACAAACAAGGACAGGAGGUGUUGUAUGACUACGAGGACCGAAUCAACCAAGCUGUCUUCCCAGGACUGCAAGGUGGUCCGCACAACCACACCAUUACUGGUUUGGCUGUUGCAUUGAAGCAGGCUACAACUCCAGAGUAUAGGGCAUAUCAAGAGCAAGUUCUCAGCAAUUGUUCAAAAUUUGCACAGGCUCUUAGUGAGAGGGGCUAUGAGCUGGUUUCCGGUGGAACUGAGAAUCAUCUUGUUUUGGUGAAUCUUAAGAACAAGGGAAUUGAUGGCUCCAGAGUUGAGAAGGUGUUGGAAGCUGUUCAUAUUGCAGCAAAUAAAAACACUGUUCCUGGAGAUGUCUCUGCUAUGGUUCCUGGUGGCAUCAGGAUGGGAACGCCUGCCCUUACUUCUAGGGGAUUUGUUGAGGAGGAUUUUGUCAAGGUAGCGGAGUUUUUUGAUGCAGCAGUAAAAUUGGCUGUGAAGAUAAAGGCAGAGAGCAAAGGAACGAAAUUGAAGGACUUUAUGGCCACAAUCGAGUCAUCUUCAACCUUUCAGUCAGAGAUUGCAAAGCUCCGCCACAAUGUUGAGGAGUAUGCAAAGCAAUUUCCAACCAUUGGUUUCGAUAAAGCAACCAUGAAAUACAAAGAUUGAGGAGAGAAAAUGUUCCAAUAGGUAUGCAUUUUGACGAUGUAACCAUGUUUUCAGGUCACACCGUGGUCUUAUUGGCAUGCAAUUCAAGAUGAUCAGUUUCUUGAUUCAUGUUACAGGACGAUAAGAGGAUAACAUAUAAAAUUUAGUCUAUGUAUGAAUCUAGAAAAACUUGAUCAUUAUCUUCUUGAAAUGUAUCAAUGCAUAUCAUAUGUAAUAAAGGCUUCAACUACAAAAUUUCCAGAAUAGAUGCUUGUUGACACCUCCGAUUGCAGGAAAUAAAUAUAUCUCUUAUAAAUCAAA